CUGGUCAGAAUUAGAGCUGAUUCAAAACUUCCUGUCUCCACCACCCAGACAAUAGGAUACUUCAUUCUCUGUUGAUCCACAUGGCUAUUAGAGAAAAAAGCAGGAAUGCCGCAGGAAACAACACUGUGGGAUUAAAUCAUGACUAAUAUGAGGUUGGCCAAGAAGAGUUUUAAGAGAAAGCAGCUGCUUAAAUCUCCAGCAAGAUUUUUCACUCAAAGAACAUUCAGAAUCAAAUCAGAAUCCCUGCCCUGAGGGUGUCAUGUGUCUUACUUUACCAAACAACAACAA